CAACCCACCAAUCAACUUUGUGUGUGGAUGAGUCAGCACUGUUAGAUUUCCUUGGGCAAUGGCAGCUGUGAUUGGAAUAAGGCUGCAAUUCUGUCCAUGCUCCUUGUGAGACUUUCAGUUGUGGACUCUUAAUCCUGAUUGCUUUGAAAUACCAGUAUGCAAGAGAAAGAUCUUGAUCUCCUUUAUCUAGGACUCACUCUCUGACACAGACUUGAUCACAAUUGUGACAACAACUAAUUCGGAGCCCCGGUAACAGAAUUCCUUGGCUCAAAAGUUCUAAGAAGACCCAACCAAGUGGCCCAUUUAUCUUGGUCUUUGAAAAAAUAAUUGCUGCUUGAUUCUAAAAAAAAAGCCAUUUUCUUGUUCAGGGAGUGUAUGAUUUAUAGGGAAAUUUGCAUUGUAAAGCCAUAGUGGUAGGCAAAUUAAUCUUAGAUUCAUCCAUCUCUGUUAAAUAUGACUACAUGCUUUGUGAGCUCAUUAACACUCUUUCCCCACUGGCUAUGAAUCUUUUUCUAGAUUAAGGGAUGGCAUAAACUCAGUACAGCCAUCUCUCUCUCUCUCUCUCAUAUUCACUCAUAUAUAUAUAUAUAAAUUUAUACAUACACAGACACACAGAGCCACUUGCUCUAACAUGCUGAGGCCCUAAGCUUUGUCAAACAUAGGUCCCAUAGCAUUACGCACACAACAAAACUUUUCUAAUAAAAAGGACAAUAAAAAUAAA